GUGGAUUAGAUACCCUGGUAGUCCACGCCGUAAACGAUGCUAACUCGUUUUUGGGCUUUCGGGUUCAGAGACUAAGCGAAAGUGAUAAGUUAGCCACCUGGGGAGUACGUUCGCAAGAAUGAAACUCAAAGGAAUUGACGGGGGCCCGCACAAGCGGUGGAUUAUGUGGUUUAAUUCGAUGAUACGCGAGGAACCUUACCAAGACUUAAAUGGGAAAUGACAGAUUUAGAAAUAGAUCCUUCUUCGGACAUUUUUCAAGGUGCUGCACGGUUGUCGUCAACU
rnacentral:rRNA from 1 species